rnacentral:rRNA from 1 species
UACGUAGGUGGCGAGCGUCGUCCGGAUUUACUGGGCGUAAAGGGAGCGUAGGCGGACUUUUAAGUGAGAUGUGAAAUACUCGGGCUCAACUUGAGUGCUGCAUUUCAAACUGGAAGUCUAGAGUGCAGGAGAGGAGAAUGGAAUUCCUAGUGUAGCGGUGAAAUGCGUAGAGAUUAGGAAGAACACCAGUGGCGAAAGCGGCUCUCUGGUCUGUAACUGACGCUGAGGUUCGAAAGCGUGGGUAGCAAACAGG